rnacentral:rRNA from 1 species
CGAAUGGCUCAUUAUAUAAGUUAUCGUUUAUUUGAUAGUGCUUUACUACUUGGAUAACCGUGGUAAUUCUAGAGCUAAUACAUGCUAAAAGACCCGACUUUGGAAGGGUUGUAUUUAUUAGAUUAAAAACCAAUGCCCUCUGGGCUCACUGGUGAAUCAUGAUAACUUCGCGAAUCGCAUGGCCUUGUGCCGGCGAUGGCUCAUUCAAAUUUCUUCCCUAUCAACUUUCGAUGUUUGGGUAGUGGCCAAACAUGGUUGCAACGGGUAACGGAGGGUUAGGGCUCGACCCCGGAGAAGGAGCCUGAGAAACGGCUACUACAUCCAAGGAAGGCAGCAGGCGCGCAAAUUACCCAAUCCCGAUACGGGGAGGUAGUGACAAUAAAUACUGAUACAGGGCUCUUUUGGGUCUUGUAAUUGGAAUGAGUACAAUUUAAAUCCCUUAACGAGGAACAAUUAGAGGGCAAGUCUGGUGCCAGCAGCCGCGGUAAUUCCAGCUCUAAUAGCGUAUAUUAAAGUUGUUGUGGUUAAAAAGCUCGUAGUUGAACCUUGGGCCUGGCUGGCGGGUCCGCCUCACCGCGUGUACUUCGCCGGCCGGGCCUUUCCCUCUGUGGAACCCUAUGCCCUUCACUGGGUGUGGCGGGGAAACAGGACUUUUACUUUGAAAAAAUUAGAGUGCUCCAGGCAGGCCUAUGCUCGAAUAUAUUAGCAUGGAAUAAUAAAAUAGGACGUGUGGUUCUAUUUUGUUGGUUUCUAGGACCGCCGUAAUGAUUAAUAGGGACAGCCGGGGGCAUCAGUAUUCAAUUGUCAGAGGUGAAAUUCUUGGAUUUAUUGAAGACUAACUACUGCGAAAGCAUUUGCCAAGAAUGUUUUCAUUAAUCAGGAACGAAAGUUAGGGGAUCGAAGACGAUCAGAUACCGUCGUAGUCUUAACCAUAAACUAUGCCGACUAGGGAUCGGACGAUGUUAUUACUUGACUCGUUCGGCACCUUACGAGAAAUCAAAGUGC